rnacentral:rRNA from 1 species
CAGUCGCCGCGGUAAUACAGAGGGUGCGAGCGUUAAUCGGAUUUACUGGGCGUAAAGCGUGCGUAGGCGGCUUCUUAAGUCGGAUGUGAAAUCCCUGAGCUUAACUUAGGAAUUGCAUUCGAUACUGGGAAGCUAGAGUAUGGGAGAGGAUGGUAGAAUUCCAGGUGUAGCGGUGAAAUGCGUAGAGAUCUGGAGGAAUACCGAUGGCGAAGGCAGCCAUCUGGCCUAAUAAUGACGCUGAGGUACGAAAGCAUGGGGAGCAAACAGGAUUAGAUACCCCCGUAGUCCCUGUCUCUUAUAC